rnacentral:lncRNA from 1 species
AGCGCUCCUCCUCCGCCGCGUGUGUCGCGCGGCGGGGUUAGGGGGAGCCUGGAGCCCGGGAGCGCGAGCCGCGGAGGAGGACGGCGGCGACAAGAUGGCGUCGCUCCCGGGACGGGACGGCGGCUUCACGGCCUGGUGUCGGGACCCGGCUGAGGAGACUCCCCGAGAGGGGCAAGCCUCCCCGGCGUGCGCCGCCCUCCGGAGACGAGCGGACGUGCGCUGCCUCCAGGGGCUCGGGCUGCGAGGGUCCGGCUAAACCCAGGCGCCGACGACAAGCCGCUGCUGGAGCGGGGUGCACUGGACACAGGAGUGACCCAUCCAUCGCACAGAACACCAAGUUCAUGCAGACUCAAAGCCCCCCAUCAGAGUCUUCGAGAAUAGGCAAACUGAAUUCUAUAGUUUCUUUUAAUUUUUUUUUCUUUUAAAGACUAUUUUUAUUCUUUGACAGUUUCAUGCGUGUAUACAAUGAACUGUGAUCAUAACACCCCAUUCUUCCACCAAUCUCAAACACAGGCUCCUGUGAUGUAGACAGAUGAAAUGCGCUUAGGGCCUUGAUGGAUUUUCCUUAAUUUUUUUAAACCCGAUACGUUAUGCCACUUAUGUAUAAAAUUAGUGAUGAGGCCACUAGUCCGCCUAGCUGAGUAGAAAACUUAAUCCCAGAGUAAGUAAUUCCAUGUCAUUUAGAAAUUAAGAUUACACUUAAAGCCUCACUAAAUAAUAACAUCCCCCAAAAUAAUCAAGUUUUAUGUAAUUCACAGCUAGUAUACAAGAUUGCACAUGAAUCACUUGUAUUUUCUUAACAAGAUUACAUUCCAUAUAUAUUUCAUUCACUUGUUUAGGUUUGUGUUUAUUUUUGUUGUGGUUUCUUGUUUGCUGGCCUGCUUGGGCUAGCCCUUUGCCAUCCUGACUGCCUGGCCUGUUUUUUAUUUCUUUUAAACAUUACUGCUUUUAUUUAUUUAUUUUAAAAAGGGAGAGGGGAGAAAGCUUUUGUGCUAGCACCCAUGAUUUUGGAAUUAAGCAUACAUUUUAUUUUAAGACCGUAGGAUGGUGAUCCUUCUAAAAGAAAGUAUCACUCUCCUUAAGAGAGCCUUGGCUUUCUGUGGCCUCCCAGGUUGUUAUACAGAUGUUAGCAAUGCCAGCUUUUGUAGUCACUUCUGUACUCUGUGAUUGUAUAGACUGUGCUUUGGAAUUUUGAGAACUUUAAAAUUCAUUUUCAUAAUAAAAGCCCUCAAAAUUUCAUCAUG